rnacentral:rRNA from 1 species
GACGAACGCUGGCGGCGUGCUUAACACAUGCAAGUCGAACGGAAAGGCCCUGCUUUUGUGGGGUGCUCGAGUGGCGAACGGGUGAGUAACACGUGAGUAACCUGCCCUUGACUUUGGGAUAACUUCAGGAAACUGGGGCUAAUACCGGAUAGGAGCCCCCGCUGCAUGGUGGGGGUUGGAAAGUUUCGGCGGUUGGGGAUGGACUCGCGGCUUAUGAGCUUGUUGGUGGGGUAGUGGCUUACCAAGGCUUUGACGGGUAGCCGGCCUGAGAGGGUGACCGGCCACAUUGGGACUGAGAUACGGCCCAGACUCCUACGGGAGGCAGCAGUGGGGAAUAUUGCACAAUGGGCGGAAGCCUGAUGCAGCAACGCCGCGUGCGGGAUGACGGCCUUCGGGUUGUAAACCGCUUUCGCCUGUGACGAAGCGUGAGUGACGGUAAUGGGUAAAGAAGCACCGGCUAACUACGUG